rnacentral:RNase_P_RNA from 1 species
AGAGCAGGCCGGGCGACCGCGGCACGGGUGACCGUGUCGAGGAAAGUCGGGACUCCGUAGGGCAGCGCGGUGGGUAACGCCCACCCGGGGCAACCCGGGGAAAGCGCCACAGAAAACAGACCGCCUGCAGCGAUGCAGGUAAGGGUGAAACGGUGAGGUAAGAGCUCACCAGCGCGGCGGGUGACCGUCGCGGCUCGGCAAGCCCCGCGCGGAGCAAGGCCAAGCAGGGAGCGAGUAGCCCGCUCGAUGCUCCCGGGUCGGCUGCACGAGGUCGCCGGUAACGGCGAUCCCAGAGGGAUGGUCGCCCCUCCGCUUCGGCGGAGGACAGGAUCCCGCUUAUAGGCCCGCUCUUCAU